rnacentral:rRNA from 1 species
GAUGAACGCUGGCGGCGUGCCUAAUACAUGCAAGUCGAGCGAACAGACGAGGAGCUUGCUCCUCUGACUUUAGCGGCGGACGGGUGAGUAACACGUGGAUAACCUACCUAUAAGACUGGGAUAACUUCGGGAAACCGGAGCUAAUACCGGAUAAUAUAUUGAACCGCAUGGUUCAUUAGUGAAAGAUGGUUUUGCUGUCACUUAUAGAUGGAUCCGCGCUGCAUUAGCUAGUUGGUAAGGUAACGGCUUACCAAGGCAACGAUGCGUAGCCGACCUGAGAGGGGGAUAGGCGACACGGGAGCUGAGACACGGUCCAGACGCCUACGAGAGGCAGCAGUAGGGAAUGGGACGCAGUGGGCGAAAGCAUGACGGAGCAACGGAGCGUGAGUGAUGAAGGUCUUCGGAGAGUAAAACUCUGUUAUGAGGGAAGAACAAAUGUGUAAGUAACAAUGCACGAAGUGACGGUACCUAAACAGAAAGCCACGGCUAACUACGUG